rnacentral:rRNA from 1 species
AUUGAACGCUGGCGGCGUGCUUAACACAUGCAAGUCGAACGGAGUGGCGAACGGGUGAGUAACACGUGGGUGAUCUGCCUUGCACUCUGGGAUAAGCUUGGGAAACUGGGUCUAAUACCGGAUAUGGCAAGAUGAGCUCGCGGCCUAUCAGCUUGUUGGUGGGGUAAUGGCCUACCCGGGCGUCGACGGGUAGCCGGCCUGUGGGGGUGUACGGCGGCAUUGGGACUGAGGUACGGCCCAGGCUCCGAAGGGAGGCAGAAGUGGGGAAUAUUGCAGCAUGGGCGGAGGCCUGAUGAAGCGACGCCGCGUGGGGGAUGACGGCCUUCGGGUGGUAAACGGCUUUCGACAGGGACGCGGUACCUGUAUAAGAAGCACCGGCUAACUACGUGCCAGCAGCCGCGGUAAUAC